ACGAUGAAGACGCAGCGAAAUGCGAUACGUGGUGUGAAUUGCAGAAUUCCGUGAAUCAUCGAAUGUUUGAACGCAACUUGUGCCCGAGGUUUGUCCCGAGGGCAUGCCUGCCUGAGCGUCU
rnacentral:rRNA from 1 species